ACCGUAAUAGCUCAGUUGGGAGAGCGUUAGACUAUAGAUCGAAAAGUCCUUGGCUCGAUCCCGGGUUCCGGCA
rnacentral:tRNA from 1 species